rnacentral:tRNA from 2 species
GCGCCCUUAGUUCAACGGUUAGAACGCACGUCUUAUAAACGUGUAACACGGUUUCGACUACCGUAGGGCGUA